CCAGCCCGCUCAGAAACUCAAAGGAAUUGACGGGGGCCCGCACAAGCGGAGGAGCAUGUGGUUUAAUUCGAUGAUACGCGAGGAACCUUACCUGGGCUCGAACGUAAGAUGACUGUAGGUGAAAGCUUACAUCUCUUCGGAGCAUUUUACGAGGUGCUGCAUGGUUGUCGUCAGCUCGUGCCGUGAGGUGUCGGGUUAAGUCCCAUAACGAGCGCAACCCUACCUUUAGUUGCCAUCAGGUAAUGCUGGGGACUCUAAAGGAACUGCCUACGCAAGUAGUGAGGAAGGCGGGGAUGACGUCAAAUCAGCACGGCCCUUACGUCCAGGGCUACACACGUGCUACAAUGGCCGAUACAGAGGGCAGCUACCUGGUGACAGGAUGCAAAUCUCCAAAGUCGGUCUCAGUUCGGAUCGGAGUCUGCAACCCGACUCCGUGAAGUUGGAUUCGCUAGUAAUCGCGCAUCAGCCAUGGCGCGGUGAAUACGUUCCCGGGCCUU
rnacentral:rRNA from 1 species